CGGACGGGUGAGUAAUGCUUGGGAAUCUAGCUUAUGGAGGGGGAUAACUACGGGAAACUGUAGCUAAUACCGCGUAAUAUCGAAAGAUUAAAGUGUGGAACCUUCGGGCCACAUGCCAUAAGAUGAGCCCAAGUGGGAUUAGGUAGUUGGUGAGGUAAAGGCUCACCAAGCCGACGAUCUCUAGCUGGUCUGAGAGGAUGACCAGCCACACUGGGACUGAGACACGGCCCAG
rnacentral:rRNA from 1 species